rnacentral:rRNA from 1 species
AGAGUUUGAUCCUGGCUCAGGAUGAACGCUAGCGGCAGGCCUAAUACAUGCAAGUCGAACGAGACUUAGUAGCAAUACUAAGUUUAGUGGCGCACGGGUGCGUAACACGUAUGCAAUCUACCCAUAACUUAGGAAUAGCCCGGAGAAAUUCGGAUUAAUACCUAAUAAUAUGUUUGAGUGGCAUCACUUAGAUAUUAAAGAUUUAUCGGUUAUGGAUGAGCAUGCGGUUGAUUAGCUAGUUGGUGAGGUAAUGGCUCACCAAGGCGACGAUCAAUAGGGGUUCUGAGAGGAAGAUCCCCCACACUGGUACUGAGAUACGGACCAGACUCCUACGGGAGGCAGCAGUAGGGAAUAUUGGGCAAUGGUCGAGAGACUGACCCAGCCAUGCCGCGUGAAGGAAGAAGGCUUUCUGAGUUGUAAACUUCUUUUAUCUGUGAAUAAAAUACCCUUGCGAGGGGACUGAAGGUAGCAGAUGAAUAAGCACCGGCUAACUCCGUGCCAGCAGCCGCGGUAAUACGGAGGGUGCAAGCGUUGUCCGGAUUUAUUGGGUUUAAAGGGUGCGUAGGCGGUUCAAUAAGUCAGUGUUUAAAGUCUGCAGCUUAACUGUAGGAAUGGCAUUGAUACUGUUGAACUUGAGUAAAGUUGAGGUGGGCGGAAUUGAAAGUGUAGCGGUGAAAUGCAUAGAUAUUUUCAAGAACACCAAUUGCGAAGGCAGCUCACUAAGCUUUAACUGACGCUGAGGCACGAAAGUGUGGGGAUCAAACAGGAUUAGAUACCCUAGUAGUCC